GUCCACCUUGAUGGCGUAGUGUAGCACCGCAUUAAGGCGUGACGUGAGCGUUGGACGCGAACGUAGUAGCCCUAUAUAGACCCAUGAAUUUAUAUAGGGAGUAUGGACGAGUGUAAAUACAUACAUAUAUUAUAGAGUCUGAGAGGCUCGAUAUUUUAUGAGAUAAAAGUUUAUCGCUUGCGGCAUGCAUUCGAUUUUUCCUUAGAAAUUAAUUUGGGGAAACAUAAAUAUUUUAUUUAUUAUUUUAUUUUUGUCCACUCACUCUGACGUUAUUAAAUGUUUUCCCCUGGGCCCUUCGUUUUAAAUUGCCCAGUCUGCAGAGUUCGGGUUGGAUCUAGUAGGAGACGAGGCAUAGUCACCCGCAUUUCUGCCAGUUUUCGCCAGUAGGUUACCUGUUCAACCUACUCGUGUUUUCUUGCUUCCGCUUGUGUUUAGUAGCUCUGAAUACUUUAGAAUUUUUGUAUAUUAUGGGAUGUUCAGAAGUGUUAAAUUAAGAGUGUAAUAUAAAAUUUUUCGAGUUAGGGUUGUCCAUCUGCAAGGGAGAUUUUCUUAAUCUUUUCAGUAAAUUUUCCUUGGAGGUGGUCCCCGCACGACUUACUCUGGGUUUCAGGGUGAAAUUCGGGGUGGGUCGUGUCAUAAGCUGGCGCACAGGUGUGCAAUUCAGAGCUUGGCUGGCAAUUGGGAUCUCCUCUCCUUGGUUGUGGCUUGGGCCUUGUUAGACCUAGCCUGGGGUGGUAAUAAUUAUUUUACUGUUUUAUUUAUUUACUUGUCAUAGCAGCCUGACUAGUUUCUAGAUCAGGCAAUCUUUCUGCUACAAUUUAUCAAUAUGUAAUUACCAACAUAAAUUCCCAAAAUACCAGAUCAAGAACCCUAGAUAUUUGCAUAUUCAUAUUUAUGUACAAUUAUCAGUUUAGAUACCAAAUUCUUAUACAAUUACGAAGCAAAAUCACAAGCAAAGUAAGGUUUCUACAUUUACCCAGUUAAAAAAUCCCAAAAUUUCUAGUAAUUUUGUAGUUGAUCAUCCUCAAUUUCUCAGUUCCUUGAUGAAAUCUCACCGUAUUGCCUUAAGUGAAUUGCCUUAGAGCAAUUGCACCCAUGAAUGGAAGACAAUUGCUGAUUUGCCAAUCAAAUUGGUACUGCUUAUCCACUAUUCAUAUAAAAUUGACAAUUGCCUCUCUAUUGUCAAUGUACCAAUUGAAGGCAAUUUGCCUGCUAAUCUACUAUUCACUUUUGAAAUUUGAAUAAAUCAUUAUUUCAAAAGGUAAAAUUUAUAAUUUGUUAAUUAAUAAUGAGAUUGAUCGGACACAUGGUUAAAUGCGCCCAUGAAUCGCUUUAUUGAAUUUGCUCAUGGUCAUGCCAAUUGUAAUGAGAUACCCUUAUGGUUGGAAGAAAAUUGGGAGGAAAUGGAUAAUAAAUUGAUGGAAGAAGAAGAUGGGAAGGUAAAACUUUAGAAAAUAUUGGUAUAAAUUAUAUGGAGUAAGGUAUUCAAUUAUAUAAUUUUUAGAAAGAAACAAAUUCAGAUUUUUUUUAAUCCAAAAAAUUGUUAACCAUUGGUAUUUAAUUAUAGCCAUUAAAUCUCAAUCUGAAGGCUAUAAUCAGUCAAUCAUAAAACUUGUAGGUUGAAAACAUGUGAAAGCAGAGGCGGAGCCCACAAAUUGGUUGGGCAAAAUGAUGGGCAAAAAUCAGCAAAGGAAUUACCCAAGCAAUUAAUAUUCACCUCGGGUCCACGAAUUGGUCAUGCAAUUUAUUAUCGGUGCAUUAAUGUUUUGGUUGAAUGUUGGUGGGUCCUAUCAAUUGGUCACCCAAUGACCCAAUCAGCUCACCGGUGCAAUUGCUCUUAGAUGAAGGCCGACGAAGUGAGUCAGACAACGAUGCCUAAAGUCCAACGACGUUUUCAAGUCAUCGUAUCUGAUUCGAUUCGAUGUGGAUUUGAUUCUUUGAGGUCACCAUUAAGAGACGAUAGUUAAGCUUUUAGGUUUUAGUUUAACUUUGUGCUUGUGUCUACAAUAAUAAUGUCUACUGAAUAGAAAUAACCAAUAGAAGGUUGUUAAUGUAAUUUCCUAUUUCUUUAAAAAUUAUUAGAGGAAAUUUUUGUGUUUUUUUUUUUUAAAUGGACACCAAGUAACAUACUCGGGCUUUCAUGUUGUAGGUUAUUCAGGUUUUGACAGGCUGGAACUGGACCAGCUGUUAACUGGGACCAAACCAGACCAGACCUGUAAAAAGCUAACCGUGAGAAAACCCAGCCCAGACCAGCCGAUUUAGGUCGGUUCUGCCGGGUUUUUUCUUUUAUGUGGUGUUAUGCCCAAUCCUAGAUCAGUAGAUCUAUCAUACGCAUGCGACCCUCGACAUAAAUUUAGGCAACCGCUCAUCUGGUUUAAUCCGCAUAUAUUUCACACAUAUACUCAAUUAAUUUACAUGUAUACCAUGAGCAACUAAAAACUUUGCUCAAAACAAAAUUAGGCACAACAAGAAGCAACAAAACAGAAAUAAACACAUUCUGUUGAGUGACUUAUCAGCCUGCAUUACAUGCCUUCUCACCCUCGGACUAGUGCUGCCAGUAAGAUUAUACGAAUUCGGGUAAGUGUAAACAUUUGUUAUCGAGUUACCAAACACCCUAGCAUACACCAUUUCACCAAACAUGCCGACCAUCGGAUUGAAGACUUGUGUUGAUGUAUCACCAGGACUAUGCAUUGGUGAAGCUGCUGUAUAGCUACCUCCUAAAGGGCUGUUUAUUUGGGAUUGAUAAGGAUGACUUCGCUGAAUACUAUAAGGGCUGGUACUUGGGGUUCGUGGUGUGUCAACCGCGCAAGGAGCGAGAGGUCUUUUUGGAAUGACUAUACCAAGAUGGGGAGGCUUGCCUUUAGAUGGCUUUGUGGGCUUUGUUGUUUGACCACGACCAUAAAGUGGGACUAGAGAGGAUUCAGAGACUUCAGUUUUGCAAACAGGGCACUGUGGCUGUUUUUGGUCCUCUUGGCUUUCCGAAGAAGGGGUCUGGAAUUGAAUCCACUUGUAUAUGCAAGGCCAGCAGUAUAAAUGACCACAGAGGGUAACCACCGGAUCGCGCACAGAGUCUAAGCAAAUGCUGCAGUCGAAGUUAGCACAUGACUUGUUUUCAGUAUCUGGGACUUCAGAAACAGGAUUCCAUUUUCCGAAGGAACAUUUAGCGUCUCCACUGGAAUUAGACUGGACCACAGCAUCUUCAAAGUAUUGCUCUGUUGCCAUCUUAACGGCUUGGGAUAGAUGAUUCUUGAGUUGCUUAAAUCUGAAACAUGGUAAAGAAAAAAGGGUAAAAUUAACGUAACAUGAUGGAGGGAUCUAUACCACAUUCAAAGUAAACAAACAGAACCGACACCAAAAUAUUAUACAAAGGCAUAAUUGCCAAUUUGCUACCCUAGAAUUCACCUUGGUGUCAAUUUGCUACCCUAGUUUUUAUUUCUGCCAAUUUGCUACCCUAGAAUUCACCUUGGUGUCAAUUUGCUACCCUAACUUUUAUUUCUGCCAAUUUGCUACCCUUAUGUCAAACUUUUGACUCUAGAUAAUCAAUAUUAACCGAUUUGACAUCAAUGUUUGGACGGAGAAAUAGAUCAAUUUAUAUGACAAAAGACAGUAAAUUGGCUAAUUUUAGAAACCUAGGGUAGCAAUUUGGCAGAAAUAAAAGCUAAGGUAGCAAAUCGGCUAAUUUUGUGAAACUAGGGUAGCAAAUUGGCAGAAAUAAAAACUAGGGUAGCAAAUUGACACUUAGGUGAAUCCUAGGGUAGCAAAUUGGCAAUUAAGCCUUAUACAAAAGUUAAACAAAAAAAUAGAUGAGAUGAUUAGAUUUAUCAAUUAUAAUCUGUCCUUCUAGGAAGACUAGAACAAGGUUUUCCAUUCUCGAUCUAACGGGGAUACUGGCCCCCAAGUAAGUUUUUGAAACUAUUGAAUAUCAAGCUUGGACUACAAAUAUUAAUUUUGCAAUCAAACUUGUUACAAUCAGAAAAUCCCCACUCAAGUCUAUUUCAGAUGAAUCUAAGGACGCUUGACAGAUAUGGAUUAGGUGAGAAUUAGGCAGAGCAAGUUACAAAAGUUUAUAUGUUCAACUUCCAAAACAUGCGUCUUGCAGUGUCAAAAGGAUAGAAACCUAAAAGUAUUACUUCUUCUUCUAGAAGACCAUCAAAUAUGAAAUAUACACUCUAAAAGACAUCCAGUCAGCAUCAAAUUGAAAAUCAUACACUCUUUCACCUUAUUUAGUUUUUACUUUUGCAAAACGAACAUUAAGACUACAAUUCAAUCAUCAUAUAAAAGGAGACACCAGAAACUGCAAUAAUUUUGAGCAAGAUGUGCGACAUCGUUCGUUCCAAGAACACCAAAAACCCGACCCUCUUCGAUUCUCAGAAUCCAAGAUUCCCGAAACCAAGAUACGAAGGAAGAAAGCCCAGCCAAAGGGCAAUAUUCAAAUACAUCAAAAAAAAAACUAAAAAAGACAUAUGGGUGUGAGCUAGAGAAAAAGUUGAUGUUGAAUGCAUACCAGUAAGAGUAGAGAAGUGGGUGUUGGCUUUUCUUUGAGGAGGCGCAAAUAAGAGCGUUAUGGCAGAAGCUUCAAUGGCGGAGCAGGAGAAGGAGAGCGCUGAGAAGGGAAGAGAAGGGAAGGAAGGAAAGUAUGAGAGGAAAGAGGAACGGGGUAGCAAUAUAUAUAGAGACAAAACAUAUCACGUCUCGGAAGAAUAGAAUUUGUUAUUAAAUUUCAUAGAAAUGAUAAAUCCAGGAGCCACUUUGCUUCUCUUGUAGUCUUCUUUGAUUCAUGAUAAGUUUCAAUGCCACCCUCGAUACGUGGCAUCCAUCAUCGAUCAAAAGUCACUUAAUUUCAAUCCAUGUUUCAUUCUCACAAAACAAAAACAAACAAAAAAACAAAAAAAUCGAUCAAAAAUAGAAGAAGAGAGAAAUAAAAAUUAAAAAAAAAAAAAGGUUAAUCCAUGUUCUCUUAGUUUUAGAAAUUUUACCUUCAGAAUUUUUCAACUUCGUCAACAGUGUCCAUUGAUAAGAUUUCGUCCAAUUUAGACAUUAAAGGUUAACAUGAAUCUUUAACAAACUUAAAAUGAGUAUUUGGUUGUAAAAUAAUUGGAAACAAAUCACCUAUACCCAAAUUGUAUGUGCCCAAUAUGUGUCAUCAAUUAAAAUCUGACACAUAGAAUUCCACUUGAUACAAAACUAACAGAAGUCUAACUCUGUUAUAUUUGUAAAUUCAAUUUUUUAUUAAAGAAAAAUAAUUUCUCCAAAUCUCCACGUUCUUCUCUUCUUCCCUUCUACUUUUCUUCUUCAUUGAAUCGUCUGGGAUCUUUUUUCUAAGAUCUUCUUUUUGACUCUAACUGCGAUCAAAACCUUAAAAUAUUUUGAACUGAUAUUUGAUAACACCGAAAUCUCUUUAAUAUUCUUUUAGUUUGUUAAUCAGACAAAGUAGUAAGAAUCUGGGUUCCCAUCCUUGGUUAAUCCGGAAGAAUGAAACAUCACCAAGCGAAUCCUAAAUUCAGAACAAAGUAAUGAAAACAAACAGUGGAAUCAAGAAUGCCAUUUUCUAAUUCACAUCAAACAUACACAGAUUCAGAGAACAUGAAACAAACCCAUAAACAAAUUGUGUCUUCUCUGAUGCCAUAGAAAUCACAAGGAGCAGUUGAUCACAUUGACAAUAGCAAGAGUAAAAUCAAAUUUCCAGACAACCCAAGUGAGAAUAAUACGUAAUAAUCAAAACCCAUACACCGAAUUGACGAAAACAAACGAUCUUGAUAGCUGAAAUUGCAAUCAAUGUAGGAAAAUGAAAGACUACAGAGAAGAACCCAGAUCUCAAUCGAUGUUAAGAGAAGAAGUGCAGAACAGGGAAGAAGAGGAGAGGAGGAAGAAGAAAAGACGUGAAGAUUGGGAGAAUUUUCUUCUUUUUAUUUUUUUAAAGAUUUAAAUGAGGUUAACAAAGUUAGGACUUCUGUUAGUUUUGUAUCAAGUGGAAUUCCAUGUGUCAGAUUUUAAUUGAUGGCACAUAUUGGGCACAUGCAACUUGGGUACAGCUGAUUUGCUUCCAAAAUAAUUGUUUUAGCCCAUAAAAGUCAAAAUUAAUGUUUAAGAGAAAUUUUAAAUACACACCCUUAAUAUCUUAAUACACACCCCUUACUUAAUACACUACCUAUUAAGUUUUUCAUUUCAGUAUUAUACUUAAUACACAUCCCAAACUGUCUAAAAUACCCUUAAUUUAUGAAAUAUUCCGUUAUUUAAUAUAAUUAAUAUAUAUUUACUAUUUGGUACCUCUUUUUACAUAUUAUUUCGUCUAAUUUUUGCUAGAAAUUUUUGGUUAUCAUCGUUCAAUUUAUAAUCAAAUGAUUAUUGUUAUAUCUCAACUCUAAAUCAUCAAUACAGGUUUUCAAAAUUCACAAGAGCACAACUGUAGAAGUACAGUAGCUAUUAAACAUAGAUAGCUAGUUAUUCGAUAAAACAUGUCAUGAUAAAGAUGCAGUAUUUGACAAUAUGAUAUGCAAAAUCAAACUAAAGAUCAAACUAAAGCUGAUAAAGAUGUAGUACUUGNNNNNNNNNNNNNNNNNNNNUGUGUAUUAAGAGAUUAGGGGUGUGUAUUUAAAAUUUCUCUAUUAAUUUUUGAGUGAUCAUCGAUGCAUAUAGUUGAGUUUGCAAUUACUCUUAAUAGUUGACCUUCUAUUCCAUUAAAAAAAACCUUGACCUUUUUUCUUUUUCGGGGUUGACAACUUGACAUACUUCACAAGCAUAUACAUGCCACACAUUCGGGAGGAGCAACUCAAAGACGUUUACAUUUAGUUUGUUAAUGUAUUAAUUCAUGGAGAAAUUUUAAAUACACACCCUUAAUAUCUUAAUACACACCCCUUACUUAAUACACUACCUAUUAAGUUUUUCAUUUCAGUAUUAUACUUAAUACACAUCCCAAACUGUCUAAAAUGCCCUUAAUUUAUGAAAUAUUCCGUUAUUUAAUAUAAUUAAUAUAUAUUUACUAUUUGGUACCUCUUUUUACAUAUUAUUUCGUCUAAUUUUUGCUAGAAAUUUUUGGUUAUCAUCGUUCAAUUUAUAAUCAAAUGAUUAUUGUUAUAUCUCAACUCUAAAUCAUCAAUACAGGUUUUCAAAAUUCACAAGAGCACAACUGUAGAAGUACAGUAGCUAUUAAACAUAGAUAGCUAGUUAUUCGAUAAAACAUGUCAUGAUAAAGAUGCAGUAUUUGACAAUAUGAUAUGCAAAAUCAAACUAAAGAUCAAACUAAAGCUGAUAAAGAUGUAGUACUUGACAAUAUGAUCUAUAAGAUCAAAUUAAAGCUGAUACGGAUACAAAAAAAAAAAAAGAANNNNNNNNNNNNNNNNNNNNNNNNNNNNNNNNNNNNNNNNNNNNNNNNNNNNNNNNNNNNNNNNNNNNNNNNNNNNNNNNNNNNNNNNNNNNNNNNNNNNNNNNNNNNNNNNNNNNNNNNNNNNNNNNNNNNNNNNNNNNNNNNNNNNNNNNNNNNNNNNNNNNNNNNNNNNNNNNNNNNNNNNNNNNNNNNNNNNNNNNNNNNNNNNNNNNNNNNNNNNGAUCUUACAGAUCAUAUUGUCAAGUACUACAUCUUUAUCAGCUUUAGUUUGAUCUUUAGUUUGAUUUUGCAUAUCAUAUUGUCAAAUACUGCAUCUUUAUCAUGACAUGUUUUAUCGAAUAACUAGCUAUCUAUGUUUAAUAGCUACUGUACUUCUACAGUUGUGCUCUUGUGAAUUUUGAAAACCUGUAUUGAUGAUUUAGAGUUGAGAUAUAACAAUAAUCAUUUGAUUAUAAAUUGAACGAUGAUAACCAAAAAUUUCUAGCAAAAAUUAGACGAAAUAAUAUGUAAAAAGAGGUACCAAAUAGUAAAUAUAUAUUAAUUAUAUUAAAUAACGGAAUAUUUCAUAAAUUAAGGGCAUUUUAGACAGUUUGGGAUGUGUAUUAAGUAUAAUACUGAAAUGAAAAACUUAAUAAGUAGUGUAUUAAGUAAAGAGUGUAUAUUAAGAUAUUAAAGGUGUGUAUUUAAAAUUUCUCAACCGUUAAAGAUGGUCCUACCAACCAUUUUGUUCUUCAUACUUUCCCAUCAUUCUGCACGUAUUUUUAUAAAUUUAAAGUUUACAGAUUUAGUUACAAUAUGGAGAACUCGUCCAGCUGAAAAGAUGCAUGCAUGACCAUCUGACAAGUGUCCCCGGUGAUCACAGGAAAGCAUAAAGCAAAUGAAAUAUGUCUUAAUACGUGUGAUGCAAUGACUCCAAGCAACAAGUCAACAAAAUAAUCUUCUAGAAACACUAGAGGAGGGAACCCAGAAAGAAAGGUCAACCAGAAGAAAAGAAUAGGUCUUACCCCCUAUAUAAAAAACAAAGCUUCUAGAAGAAAAGGUUGCCACUACUAGUAGCAUUGUGAUGGCACGGGUGUGACUGAGUGGGGGAUUGAAAGGAGACAAUUAUUAAUGGGCAGUGACAACAUGUCGACAUCCAUCCAUCCAUCCAUUUUCGUUGGAUGCGGGCUUGGUGUCUGCUACGCAAUAAUUCUCGGGAUUCCCAUCACUACCCCCACCUUCGUCUUCCGCUACUAACAUACUUUUCUUCCUCACGAUAUUACAAGUUUACAACAAUCAUUCUUCAUAUUAUUUUCUAAAUAGAAAUAAUAAUUGAGAAUUAAUAAAAAGGAGCAUCUUUACUCGGUCAUUUCUUAAGUCAAAUUUUACUAAAAAUAAUUUUACUUUUUUUUUUCUUUUUAGAGAAAGAGAUGUUACUCCCGCGAAAUAACUCAUUCAUUAAUACGAUUUUAUAAGAUCAAACUAAAAGGUCAUAAGUGACCCUCAUUUACAUUCACUACUCGAUUGACUGUACGAAUACUCAAAUAAUCACCCUAGACCAUCUUUCACCAUAGGCUUAAGUACUCAAAUUUAGCCUAUAAUUACUCUCAUCAUAAGCCAAAUUACAAUUUUCAAAGUAAAAAAUUUAGCUUAAGCUAUUUUGUAAGCCAAAUUUAACUUAUGGAGUUGGUAGGCUAAAAUUAAGUAUUAUUUUAUUCAACUUUAGAUUUUGUUCUUCUAAUUUACACUAACAUCUAAUUUAAAAAUUCGUUACUAACAAAAUUUUAUACCAUCAUGACGAUCUCAACGAGAUCUUUCAUAUGUGCCCCAUAUAGAAUGUAUUCAUAUAAAAGCUUUUUCAUGAUUACUUAUUGAAUUAAACAAAUAAAUGAUAAAUUAAAAAGAAAUGGCUUUACCUAAGGAUUUACUUUACGGUGGGAAUGCUUCUUAGACCAAAAUACUAUUCAUUUAUCUAAAGAUUUAGCUUAUGGUAGGAGAAUUUGAUAAGUUAAAAAUAGAUUAUAUAGAAUAUUCUUAUUUUGUAAGCUAAAUUUACAAAAAAUAAAAUAAAAUAAAAAAAUAAUCUUUUAACGGAAACUAGAGUCCAAAAAGGUGGACAAUCAACAAAAAAAAAACCAAAAGACAUGUUGCAAUAUGCGGAGGCAUCAACCACUAUGACUGUUGCCUUCAUUGGUUACGAAAGGACGUGCAACAACAAGAUAAAAUAAACUUGCUAAUUAAUUUCUGUAACAAAUACUAGAUACAAACGGUGUAUAUACCUUGUAGGUUGAAAAUUCUUCUACGUAAUAAGGUGUAAGUGAAUCGAGCAACUAAUAUGUAAUAUUUUGAUCCGGUCAUCCAUGUCGUAUUAUCAUGCAUGUAUUUUAAUACCGUUCACAAAAUUAAAACCCAAAACACAUGAGGUGAGAACCUGAGGUCGAAUAAAAAGUACUUUUAUUAUGAGCGCUUAAUUUGAUCGGAUUAAAAAUGAAAACAAAAAUAAUAAAUUUUAGAGUCUCUAGUCUUCACUGGAUCUUCGCAUGCGGACGAUUUGAAGACUUGCACAUUAAUAAUGUAAGUGUACCUUGUAUUCGCUCGGUUAGUAGACCACAAGAUUACAUGUCUUUUCCCUUGGCGUUAGGCCUAGUCAACUCAUUAGCAGCCUUCUUAACAGAAGUCACAUCUAACAGACUCGGUUAUGGCCUAGAAAUCACUCCAUUGAGCCCAUAAGAUUCUGGCGUAAACCACGAGUCGCCCGAUCCCAGCCUCCCGAUUGAUAUAUACACUGUAGCGUAGAUCAAACGCAUGUCAAUUUCGAAGAAGUUAAGCAGUUAAGAGUAUGAUCCGACAAACAAAUAAUGCAGACUAGUUUAUGAUUUAAGGCCGGAGCACUGCAGCUGUAACUUGCAACAUACACAUAAACUAAAACUGGGUCUUGAUCGAGUCGGUCUCUAUUUUACGUUAUCCAUCUAAACGCACGCAUCAACUUGCAUCUUCAAUCAAAGCCAUCUCUAUACAUUGGGACAUAUUCUCUGUACCUAUCAUCCUUCUGAAACUCACCACCACUUCACAUUCCUAUGUGGAUCAAAUUGACCUCUUACAUUUCUCUUCCUUGCAAUCAAACUCAUGAGAAAUUAUAUUACUUUAGUAUAUAGCAAACGAUUAAUUAAUUAUGCAUUUCAUAAAAUACUAGUAGUGUCCGCUUGUUAUUUGUUCAUAACUUGAAUAUAAUUAAGCUUCUAGAAACCCUUCGCCAUACUCCAUUAUAUAAUUCAGAGUGCUAACUAGCUAGCUGAAAGUCUGAAACGAUGGAAUACAAAGUCUGAAAACGACUCACUCCCUUCCUUUUUUUGGUAGACUCCGGAGUAAUAUAUAUGGUAGAAUUAUUAUUGAGAGAUUCAAAUUCAACAUAGAGAGAAAGAGUACUGAGAUGAUCAUUUUGAACCUGAUUAGCUUAUAUCGUGAAGAGAAUAAGUUGCAGGGUAACUAAAUUACUGUUUGACUUCUCGAAACUUACAAUGACGUCUUAGACAUAUAAAGUGUCAAACACUGAUUGUACUUUUUAUUUUGGGACUAAGUAUUGCUUGAGAUGUUUUCUU
rnacentral:lncRNA from 1 species